GUUUGGGAACAGAAGACGCGGCUACUCGGCCUACAGCAGCUCGGCGUUUAUUCGGGUGGCGGUAGAGUCACUGCAGGAAAAAGAAGACGCAAACAAGCACAGUGAGGCUCCCCAGAAGUUUGAGAAGGUUCUGAAUUACUUCUGUUGUAUUUUGUUUUCUUGAUUCUGAAAUGUUUCUUUUAAUGUUUUACUGUUAAAGCUGCAUCUAAGUC